UGGAUUUGAACUGCGUGGGUCCAGUUAUACUCAGAUUUUUUUCAGUAAGAAUUACAUCAAGUGUGCCAGCCUCUCCUGCCUCCCUUUCCACCUCCUCCACCUCUUUGGCCUCUGCCACUUCUGAGAGAGCAAGACUAACCCCUCCUCUUCCUCCUCCUCAGCUUACUCAACAUGAAGAUGAUGAGAAUGAGGACCUUUGUGAUGAUCUUCCACUUAAUAAAUGAUCAGUGGAGCAUCACUGGCUGUGUGGGGCUCCCUCCAGUAAGUAGGUCUAGGACUUUAGCUGCAUCUGCUGCUCAUCCCAUAUCUUGACAAAAGUACACAAGAACCUCUAGUGCUUCCAUGUCUCCAAAUGCCAUCUCCAUUACACUUCAAAAUGCACCCCCAACCUAGGAUGAUUGGGCUGUCCUUCUUAGCUGAUAAAAACAGCAGAAAAACUU